CUCCAGCUGACGAGUCUCGAAUAGGACGAAACGCGCGUCCUGGAU
rnacentral:hammerhead_ribozyme from 1 species